AGUUCAUGGGCUUCAAUCCUGAAGCUUAGAGGUGCUGGUCGGACAUGGUAGUGCCUAGUCUGAUAUUGCAACGAACGAUGUCUCAACUUUUUCCGCUUCUGACCGAUACUUUUAAGCUCCAGGAUUGAAACCUUUCUGAACU